rnacentral:lncRNA from 1 species
UAUUCCUAGUUACUCCAGAGUGGAGCUCCAGCCUACCAGCGACACCACCCUGAACCCUAGGAGCUACCACAGCAGCCGGCUCUCCCUGGAGGACAAAGCACUUCCCGCUGGCGGGGAGGGGAAUUUCCGUGAUGGGAAAAAGAGCAUAGGGACAGAUUAUGAGGAGAACUGGCAGGACGUGAGGGACAGCACCAGUGAGUCCACACACCUUGAGGAUGACGAGGAUUAGGAGUCCUUCCAGUCCAUCUAUGAGGAGGAGG